ensembl:lncRNA
AAAAAAAAUGUAUUUAUGGCUGUGAGGAGCCAUUAAUCUCUGCAUUUACGCUCCACACAUGGUUGUACAGCAGCUGUGAGCUCGGCCUUCCUCCUGCUUCCUUUCCUUUCUCCAGCGAUCCACUCCAAAUCUCAGCUGGGCGUUUUACUAUAGCUGAGACCCUGAAAUACUGGUUUGAGAAGCACCUUGUUAGCAUCCACUGGAAUCAUCCUCAAAAUGGAGGACUCGAGAAAAGAGAAUCAGAUGAGUCCAACUGAUCUGACUUUGAUCACCAUGAAAGCUUCCAGACAGCUUGAGCAGUUGCUGCCUCACCAACAGUCCUUUCUGCCUUCAAAACUGGUUAAUGGAGGGAAGGGUCUUGCCAGCUAUAUGUAA